GUGGGGAAUAUUGGGCAAUGGGCGCAAGCCUGACCCAGCAACGCCGCGUGAGGGAAGAAGGCUUUCGGGUUGUAAACCUCUGUCCUUGGUGACGAAACAAAUGACGGUAGCCAAGGAGGAAGCCCCGGCUAACUACGUGCCAGCAGCCGCGGUAAUACGUAGGGGGCGAGCGUUGUCCGGAAUUACUGGGCGUAAAGGGUGCGUAGGUGGCCUUUUAAGUUGGAUGUGAAAUACCCGGGCUUAACUUGGGGGGUGCAUCCAAAACUGGGAGGCUAGAGUGCAGGAGAGGAAAGCGGAAUUCCUAGCGUAGCGGUGAAAUGCGUAGAUAUUAGGAGGAACACCAGUGGCGAAGGCGGCUUUCUGGACUGUAACUGACACUGAGGCACGAAAGCGUGGGGAGCAAACAGGAUUAGAAACCCGUGUAGUCC
rnacentral:rRNA from 1 species